rnacentral:rRNA from 1 species
CCUACGGGUUGCACCAGUGGGGAAUAUUGCACAAUGGGCGCAAGCCUGAUGCAGCCAUGCCGCGUGUAUGAAGAAGGCCUUCGGGUUGUAAAGUACUUUCGGCGGGGAGGAAGGCGAUAAGGUUAAUAACCUUGUCGAUUGACGUUACCCGCAGAAGAAGCACCGGCUAACUCCGUGCCAGCAGCCGCGGUAAUACGGAGGGUGCAAGCGUUAAUCGGAAUUACUGGGCGUAAAGCGCACGCAGGCGGUCUGUCAAGUCGGAUGUGAAAUCCCCGGGCUCAACCUGGGAACUGCAUUCGAAACUGGCAGGCUAGAGUCUUGUAGAGGGGGGUAGAAUUCCAGGUGUAGCGCUGAAAUGCGUAGAGAUCUGGAGGAAUACCGGUGGCGAAGGCGGCCCCCUGACAAAGACUGACGCUCAGGUGCGAAAGCGUGGGGAGCAAACAGGAUUAGAUACCCCCGUAGUC